rnacentral:rRNA from 1 species
GUGGGAAACCUGCCUUUUGGUUGGGGAUAACACUUCUAACGAGGUGCUAAUACCGAAUGAGAUCAUUCUAUCGCAUGGUAGAUUGAUGAAAGACGGCCUCUGAUUUAAGCCGUCACCGAAAGAGGGUCCCGCGUCCCAUUAGCUAGUUGGUGAGGUAACGGCUCACCAAGGCUGCGAUGGGUAGCCGGCCUUAGCGGGCGAUCGGCCACACUGGGACUGAGAUACGGCCCAGACUCC